AAGCAGGCUCCCUACUGGACAUGAGGCUCAAUCCCAGGACCCUGGGAUCAUGAGCUGAGCCGAAGGCAGAUGCUUAACUGACUGAGCCACCUAGGCACCCCGACACAGCUAACAUUUAAUAGAAGUAUUCAGAACAGAAUUACAGUUCCAGUCUAUGAGCUUCUUCUCAACCAGAUUCAGAGGGACGAGUGCCCAUAAGAAGUGAGGCCCGAUGGAAGAACAGUCAGCUGAGGACCAGAAAGC
rnacentral:lncRNA from 1 species